rnacentral:rRNA from 1 species
GAUGAACGCUGGCGGCGUGCCUAACACAUGCAAGUCGAGCGAACGGACGAGCAGCUUGCUUCUCUGAUGUUAGCGGCGGACGGGUGCGUAACACGUGGACAUCUCCCCUAUAAGCCUGGGUUAACUUCGGGAAACCGGAGCUAAUACCGGUUAAUAUUUUUAACCGCAUGGUUCAACAGUAAAAGACGGUCUUUCUAUCACUUAUAGAUGGAUCCGCGUUGCAUUAGCUAGUUGGUAAGGUAACGGCUUACCAAGGCAACGAUCCAUAGCGGACCUGAGAGGGUGAUCAGCCACACUAGAACUGAGCCACGGUCCAGACUACUACGGGAGGCAGCAGUAGGGAAUCUUCCGCAAUGGGCGAAAGCCUGACGGAACAACGCCACGUGAGUGAUAAAGGUCUUCGGAUCGUAAAACUCUGUUAUUAGGGAAAAACAUAUGUGUAAGUAACUGUGCACAUCUUGACGGUACCUAAUCAGAAAGCCACGGCUAACUACGUG